rnacentral:lncRNA from 1 species
CUAAACACCUGCUUGCCUACUAACCAAAGGUAUCUACUCGAAGAGAGCUUCAGGAAACGAAAGGACGAAAUGGUAUUUCCCUAUUUGUUGUCCGAGCUUGAAGACCUGCUUCCCCGGACACAGUUAGUGUAGGGGAAAUUUUGAGGAUCAGGACGAGAUUUGACGAACUACAACAGAAAAAUUUUCUCUCUCUCUAUGGAAUCAGUGUAUACAUUCAUCUUCCUCGCUCAUGGUUUGACCAUACAAUAAGGGAAAAACUGACGAGCUGCAGUAAGGCGCAUGAGAUGCCUCAUGCAUAUCUACAUAUGUACCGUCUUACAUGCAGCGACGAUAAGCAGCGAAUCUCAUCCCAUAGAUGCAAUGCAUGCCCGAGCUACUUUACUUACAUAUACGUGUACACCUAGAUUCUAGGAAUUCUUCAUGGAACAUCCUUGAUCUGUUGGAGGGUUUAUUGCUAGCCUUAGGUCACAACACAUCAACGGUCCCCGCCUGAGUAGGUAAGGGUAACAACAUUUUCAACUAAUACUCUGUAUAAAGGCUUGAGGGAUUAAAUGAACGGUAUCUGAGCGUACAUAUAUCAGAUUAACUGUAUGUAGCAUCUACACAGCUGACGAUAGUCAGGCUGUAGUUCAUGAGGACGACUCCCGUCUUGCGAAGCGAUUCGCGCCCGUGGCGUGGCGGUCAACCAGACCGAUAACACAGUCAUUCCUCCAUAGCUAGAUAUACGCAACCAACAGCAUAACACUUUUUUCGAUUAGCCAAAAACAAAAUGGUGGUUACACAAGCAGAGCCGAAACUAUUCGAAAGAUCGACCUUCAUUGUGGAAGCUUUAGGGCUCUACCCCGCUGAAUGCUCCCCUCAUUUUGUGCGACAUUCUG